rnacentral:rRNA from 1 species
ACGCUGGCGGCGUGCGUAAUACAUGCAAGUCGAACGCUUUGUGGUUCAACUGAUAUGAAGAGCUUGCUCGGAUUUGAAGAUGAACAGUGCAAAGAGUGGCGAACGGGUGAGUAACACGUGGGAAACCUACCUCUUAGCGGGGGAUAACACUUGGAAACAAGUGCUAAUACCGCAUAAUACUGAUAACCGCAUGGUUAUCAGUUGAAAGAUGGUUCUGCUAUCACUAAGAGAUGGUCCCGCGGUGUAUUAGCUAGUUGGUAAGGUAAUGGCUUACCAAGGCAAUGAUACAUAGCCGAGUUGAGAGACUGAUCGGCCACAAUGGGACUGAGACACGGCCCAUACUCCUACGGGAGGCAGCAGUAGGGAAUCUUCCACAAUGGACGAAAGUCUGAUGGAGCAACGCCGCGUGUGUGAUGAAGGGUUUCGGCUCGUAAAACACUGUUGUAAGAGAAGAAUGACAUUGAGAGUAACUGUUCAGUGUGUGACGGUAUCUUACCAGAAAGGAACGGCUAAAUACGUGCCAGCAGCCGCGGUAAUACGUAUGUUCCAAGCGUUAUCCGGAUUUAUUGGGCGUAAAGCGAGCGCAGACGGUUGUUUAAGUCUGAAGUGAAAGCCCACAGCUUAACUGUGGAAGUGCUUUGGAAACUGGAUAACUUGAGUGCAGUAGAGGAGAGUGGAACUCCAUGUGUAGCGGUGAAAUGCGUAGAUAUAUGGAAGAACACCAGUGGCGAAGGCGGCUCUCUGGACUGUAACUGACGUUGAGGCUCGAAAGUGUGGGUAGCAAACAGGAUUAGAUACCCUGGUAGUCCACACCGUAAACGAUGAGUGCUAGAUGUUUGAGGGUUUCCGCCCUUAAGUGUCGCAGCUAACGCAUUAAGCACUCCGCCUGGG